CAGCGGGAGCGUGCGUGUGAUUGGCCGUGGACCCUGCGCGUUCACGCUCUAGUUGUGAGAUUUGCGCGCCGCCGCUCGCUGGAGGACAGGAAAGCGAUAGUUGUCAUAUCGAGGGGCAAAUAACUCAUCGUUUCCAAUGAAUAACUACCCCUUCAGCUCGACCGCCAGCUGACGCACUGCCCUGCGCGAACCCUCGAGGACGGAGCAGCGACGCGACGCGGCGCGAUCGUGCGAGGAGUAUUCGGUGUUAGCAGCAGCUCUGGCCGUUCCUGUGUUCCAGUAUGGCUCAGCCGAGCUCGUGUGCUCAGAGCAGUAACGGUGUGGCCGACGAGUCUCCAAACAUGCUGGUCUACAGGAAAAUGGAGGACAUCAUCUCUCGGAUGCAGGACGAGAAGAACGGGAUUCCCAUCCGCACCGUGAAGAGCUUCCUGUCCAAGAUCCCCAGUGUGUUCUCAGGCUCUGAUAUUGUCCAGUGGAUGCAGAAGAACCUGAACAUUGAAGACCAAGUGGAGGCUCUUCAUCUGGGGACGCUGAUGGCGGCUCACGGUUAUUUCUUCCCCAUAUCAGACCACGUUCUCAUGCUGAAAGAUGACGGAACAUUCUACCGCUUUCAGACUCCAUAUUUCUGGCCGUCAAACUGCUGGGAACCAGAAAACACUGACUAUGCGGUUUACCUCUGUAAACGAACAAUGCAGAAUAAAGCUCGUCUGGAGCUGGCCGAUUAUGAAGCUGAGAGUUUGGCGAGGCUACAGAGAGCUUUUGCACGGAAAUGGGAGUUUAUAUUCAUGCAAGCAGAAGCACAAGCGAAAGUGGACAAAAAGCGGGACAAGAUCGAGCGGAAGAUCUUGGACAGUCAGGAGCGGGCCUUCUGGGACGUUCACAGACCUGUGCCUGGCUGUGUGAACACUACUGAAGCUGACAUAAAGAAAUCCUCCCGGAUGAAGCAGCCGCACAAAACACGGAAGUCAGUGUACGGUCUACAGAAUGACAUCCGCAGUCAGAGUCCGACUCACACCGCCGCUCCGGAAGUGAAAGAGCCCACGGAGGACGAGCUUCGCAACCAGAUCCAGAACUGGCAAACACAGCUGGACAGACACUGCUUAAAGAUGUCCAAAGUCGCAGAGAGUUUGUUGAGUUUCUCGGAGCAGUACAUCGAGUACGAUCCGUUCUUCACGACGCCGGAGCCGUCGAACCCCUGGAUCUCUGAUGAUGUCACUUCCUGGGAGCUGGAGGCCAGUAAAGAGGCCGGGCAGCACCGAGUCAAGCGCUGGGGAUUCUGCUUCGACGAGGUUCUGAAGGAUCCGGCCGGGAGAGAACAGUUCCUCAAGUUCCUGGAGUCCGAGUUCAGCUCCGAGAACCUGAGGUUCUGGCUGGCGGUGCAGGAGCUGAAGAAGCGUCCGAUCCGAGAGGUUCCCAGCAGGGUGCAGGAGAUCUGGGAAGAGUUCCUGGCUCCUGGAGCUCCGAGUGCCAUCAACGUCGACUCCAGGAGCUACGACAAAACCACGCAGAACAUCAAGGAUCCCGGCCGAUACGCUUUCCAAGACGCUCAGGAGCACAUCUAUAAGCUGAUGAAGAGUGACUCCUACAGCCGCUUCAUCCGAUCCAGCGCUUACCAGGAGCUGCUGCAGGCCAAGAAGAAGUGAUGAGACAGGAAGUGCUGAUUGGCUGGUUUUUCUGUGAUGUGAAAAGCAAGAAUCUUUUCUAGGAUCUGCAUCACAGAUGCGGUCAGCGAGCGAAGCUUGUAUAAUCACACACACGUCACACGUCUGUUCAUUACUGCUGAUCACCAGCUGGACACACAUCUCCUGGAUCCUCUGAGAAUCCUUCAUUCUGUCAGUCUGAAGACACACACACACACACACACACACUGCUCUCACCGUUGAUUUGCCUUUGCGCUUCACUCCAUCUGAGCUCUUACAGUUAUUUUUAUAUCUAAGAACUGUUUGGCUGUUUUCUGUGAGCUUUGCUUCUGUAAAUGUGUACAGAUCUGGAGAUUCGGCGUGAUUUCUGAUGAGGAACACCUGCGCUCACACAAUCACCGCUGCUUGAGACACACAUGAAUGUGUUCGGAUGAUGUACAGUGGACGCUAAUAAUAUUAAUCAUAUUUGGACACCUUUAUUUUACCAUCUGUACAUUAAACGUGACGCACCAUCCAUAAAGUACUGUUCCCUCAUGGACUCGAUGAGAGAGAUGAUAGUGAUGAUGGACCGUGACUGAUCUGAGAUCUGCAUCAUACAGUAUUUCAUUUGAGUUCUGUUUCUUCAGAAAACGACUGCGAUCCAAAGAUUAUGAGAUGAUUAGUCCAGCUCAUGCGGUCUGGGUUCUUGUGUUUAUGAUGUUGAUUCUGUACAUAGCUCCACAGUGACAUGAAUAAAGCGACUGGAGAUGAAAG